GGGUUGAUUCGAAUGGGUUGACACCUGCUGGCUUAGGCAGGCAUCCCUUUCCUCCCUCACUGCUCCAUGUGGAUCUCUCCUGAAGCUGCGUGCUGGGUGGAAGAGGAGAAUCUUCUCUGAUAGAGGACAACGGUUCUGUGGUCAAGUGUAUACCACUCCCCUGCUAGAACCGCGGAACGAGCUCAAACCAGAAGAUGAAUGUUGAACAUGUACAUCCUGUUGCCUUCAAAAUACUCAGAAGAGGGGAAUUCAGGUUUUCUAUUGCUAA
rnacentral:lncRNA from 10 species